CAAAGGGCUUGUCUAAGGAACCCUGUGAAGAUUGAAGUAGCAUCUAAAUAUUCUACCGUUGAUACACUAAAGCACCAGUAUCGUUUUCUGCCGUCCCAGCACAAGGACUGUUAUCUUGUAUAUAUUCUGACUGAGAAGUGUCAAUGUACAACUAUGGUUUUUACUCGUACAUGUGAUGCAACACUCCUAUUGGCUACGAUGCUUCGAAAUCUUGGUAUAAGAGCCACCCCUAUUAGUGGUCAUAUGAGCCAGUCAAAACGACUUGGUGCCUUAAAUAUGUUUAAAGCUGGAGAGUGUAAUGUACUUAUCUGCACUGAUGUGGCAAGUAGAGGAUUGGAUAUUCCGUUGGUGGAUAUGGAUAUUAAUUAUGAUAUUCCC